GUCCACGCCGUAAACUAUGGGUGCUAGCCGUCAGGAAGCUUGCUUUUUGGUGGCGCAGCUAACGCAUUAAGCACCCCGCCUGGGGAGUACGGUCGCAAGAUUAAAACUCAAAGGAAUUGACGGGGGCCCCGCACAAGCGGUGGAGCAUGUGGUUUAAUUCGAAGCAACGCGCAGAACCUUACCUACCCUUGACAUGUCUAGUAUGGGCACCAGAGAUGGAGCUCUUCAGUUCGGCUGGCUAGAACACAGGUGCUGCAUGGCUGUCGU
rnacentral:rRNA from 1 species